rnacentral:misc_RNA from 1 species
GCAAACUUGGUCAUUUAGAGGAAGUAAAAGUCGUAACAAGGUUUCCGUAGGUGAACCUGCGGAAGGAUCAUUAUAGAGAACAUGCCCUUAGGGGUAGAUCUCCCACCCUUUGCUUACCUCCCUUUGUUGCUUCGGCAGGUCGCGUCUUUGACCGCCGGCUUCGGCUGGAUAGUGCCUGUCAGAGGAUGAACACUCAUUUUCCUGUCGUCAGAGAUAUUUUUAAUCUAAAACUUUCAACAACGGAUCUCUUGGUUCUGGCAUCGAUGAAGAACGCAGC